rnacentral:lncRNA from 1 species
UUGUAGGCAACUUUAUGUAGAUAUAUGCCUGCCAGAUAAUAUCACUCUUUCCUUCUCACACAUAUUCUAACUGGGCAGCAUGCCUCCAACUGUGUUCCACCCUGCAAGGCCUGGGCUCCCCAUGUUAAGAUUAGUUCUCUGAUUUGGCAGCUUAAAACAACACAAAUAUAUUAUCUUACAGUUCUGGAGGUUAGAGUUCCAGAAUGAAUUUCACUGGGCUAAAAUCAAGGUGCGGGUAGGGCUGGGGUUUUUUUUGUUGUUGUUGUUGUUGUUGGGUUUUUUUUUUUUUUUUUUUUUUUUUUUGAGGCUUUAGAAGAUAAUCCACUUAUUUGCCUCUUUCAGCUUCUGGAGGACCCUUCAUCGCUUGGCUUAUGGCCCUCUUCAUCCAUCUUCAAAGCCAGGAACAUUGCAUUUACUUGAACAUUCAUCUAUAGUCUCAUCUCCCUCUAGCCAUAGCCGAGAAAUGUUCUUCACUUUGAAGAAACCAUAUGGGUUGAAUUGUGGCCCCUCAAAAGCUGUGACAGGUCGGUGGCGGUGUAUUUUUCACUUCAGAAGCCAAGAACUUUUGCUAGAAUAUGAAGGCCAGAGCAGCUGGGCUUUAAUGCUAGAUUCUGCACAGGGAAGACAAAGGAAAAAACAGGAUGAAGUAUAUGUCAGCAAUUUAUACAGAUGA